UACAGAGGGGGCGAGCGUUGUUCGGAAUUACUGGGCGUAAAGGGCGCGUAGGCGGCCUGUUAAGUCGGACGUGAAAUCCCUCGGCUCAACCGGGGAACUGCGUCCGAUACUGGCGGGCUUGAAUUCGGGAGAGGGAUGUGGAAUUCCAGGUGUAGCGGUGAAAUGCGUAGAUAUCUGGAGGAACACCGGUGGCGAAGGCGGCAUCCUGGACCGACAUUGACGCUGAGGCGCGAAAGCCAGGGGAGCAAACGGG
rnacentral:rRNA from 1 species